CAGGUGAGAACCUGACAACUCUGACUGGCAGCCUUAUCAAGGUGAGGGCUCACGCUGGGCUGAUGGUUGUCUAGUGACCAGACCAACAGGGGGCACAAGUUGCUGUCCUGACUAAAAUCAAGAACUACUGCGAAUUUGAAGUUUUUCAAAGUCCAACUGACCUAAAAUCCAAGAAGAAUGUGAAUAAUUAUAAAUGACUCACAGAGGAUGACCAGGACCCCAAUAAACACCAAUUCCUGCACGUGCUCCUUGUUUCCCGUUGGCUGAACAACAGCCAUCAGUAUACACCACAACUGCAUCACCUGCACAGCAUAUAAAUCAAGGAUAUAGCCUUACAACAUAUUGGGUGGUUUCCCGGACAGGGAUUAGUUUAGGCCAGGACUAGACCUUAGUUUAAUUAGGAAAUAUAACAAGUUUUACCAAACAUCUGUGUGCCUUCUUAGACAAAACUACUGUAGGGGCACUGAUGUAUUUAAAGCUAUGUUAGUGCAAGUUGUUUUCAGUUUGGACAGCGCUUACAUUUAUUUUAGUCUAGGACUAGUCUAAUCCCUGUCUGGGAAGUGGGAAACCGCCCCAUUAUCUGUAAAAGACUGUAAUUUGAUGGUUAAAGCACUAUUAUUAUUAUUAU